UUCUUUAACUGAUUUUUAAUUUAGUAAUUGGAAUUAUAAUUGUGUAUUUCUGCGAAUAGUUAUUUGAGGCGAUGAUGUGGUAGGACUCAUAGGAAGGUGGUUAGGUUGCAUGGCGCUGUUUGACCCGAUUUAGAGAUUAUGGCGUGGGCUGGUUGUUCUACGACGUUUGCCAAGGGUUCUAUCGAUUCGAAGGUUCUUUAUUCCAUUAGUACAAACACAUACCGAGGAGUAUUCCAUGCGUGAGUCAAGACUACCGUGAUGAUGAAUGACGAUGCGCGAGGCCGAUACGUGCUUAGGACAUAAUACAUAACCUCACUAUUGCAUAAGUCAAUAGAAAAGAAGUCAGCCUAACGUAGCGCAGAUGCAGUGAGUUAACUGGAAUUUUCGCAUCCCCCAGGAACGAUUAUCACGCCCACUGGCUAUUACUUUGCAAGGUGGCUAGUGAAAGAAAGCAGCCCGCGUUCACUGCUCCAGGAAUUUCCGGUUAUGGGAAUCGGAACGUGCCAUUUCGCGGAAGAAAAUAUACGCAAGGAGUCAUUAGCAGUAGCGGCGGAAUUUGAAACCGCGUGGAAGGUACGCGACGAAGAGGAUGUAUAGGAAGGAAGGAAGGUGACUAGGUUCACGUGUGACGCCCACGCCCAUGCUUAAUACUUAUGUGUUUUAUACACACUUGGUCUAUAUGCUGCGUAAAAAUGCCUACGAAAUGGGAGACGCCCAGCGACUGCGACAACGUUCCUGGAACGUGUAACGCAUUAGAAGAUUGACCUGAUGAACGGGAGCACCGGAGCUGGUGGAAUGAAUUGUGUAGUGGAACCCCAAGGAAAAUUGUAAUGGAAACGAAGACGGUUUUGUAGAAUGAUACAACGUUGAGGAAUACGAGUAGAUAGAGGGGAAGAGGAAGGGAUGAAGUUGCUAGCAGGAAAAUUGACUGGAAACAGCUCAUUCAUAAAAGCAGCUGAGGGAUCGAUGCGCACGUGGUUCGAAUCCGGUUAAAUCAGGGUGGCCAACUCCUGACAUUUACCAUUAUAUUUUUCCACCCUGACAUCACUGCCGUAUCUCAUGACAUUCAAUGAAUGUUUUUCUGCUUUCCAAGUGAACUUUUUCACUGGGAAAUAGCUUGGGUGUGAAUUUGUUUAUUUAUUAUCAAAAAAGUAUAACGAGUAGAAUACAUGAAAGCGCACUGAGGUAUAUUGUAGAGAAUUUAAAUAGGAGUUGGGUGAUAAUCUUUACCUAGGGUAUUAGCAGUGACUGAAUGAAUUGUUGUUACGUUUACAUACUGGCAAGGCUCUAACAAUCCGCUGGGUCUUAAAGCCGAGAAUCGAUUGCCACCCUCUCUUUAAGAACUCGGUCAUAGGGAUAUAGACCCACACAAAAAGGAUCCGGAAUUAGGUUAAUCAUAGGGUGGAUAUAAAUGCAUGGAGUUAUGUAUGUACAGCUUGAUACACUAUCUACAACCUAUAUGACAUAAAGAGACAGAUGAAAACCUAAUUGUAUUACUAAUCUAUCAUAGACUUUUAAUAUUACAUUAUUAUAUAGUAUAAUUAUUGAAAGCUUAAUCUAAAUGAUAUGGACUCUCUGUUACAGAUAAGGUUACUGUACAUAAUGAAAAUUCUAUUGUUUUCUUGGACUUCAUCGACUAUGUAUCUGGAAAUUAGGGGAAUUUCACUUGGAUUUCGAUUCUACUCCACUCAGCCCUUCUAGCGGGAGACUCUAAUUGAGUGGAAAAUGUUAUCAUGACGCACACACUCCUAUCGGCCUAAAUGUGAUUCAGCCAACCACCAAGUUUCCAAGAAGGGUCCCUUCGUGGUGGUGAACCUAGCGUGGGCUGUGGCGUUAUGUCGAUUUCACACCAACCCCCUGGAUUGCCUUCCUUUUCCAAGUAUCAACUUGCACACCCCCACGGAAGCAACAUUAAUCUCGCUGAUAAUUCACGCUAACCAAAUGAGUAUCGUGAUGUAUAUCGCUAUAAGAAAAACACGUGUGUCUAUACUACAAGAGGCAGACGUGUAUUUGAAAGUGUAACGGAGUCGAACACUUCUUGGAUGUCGAUUAGUUAAUGCUCAAACCAUAUGACAGUCUCCAUUGGGUUCCCAUAAAAGAUCAUGAAUCUCAUGGUGACCUCGCCAGAUCGAAGGACGUGUUUCACGGAAGUAACUGGGUGUAUAAUAUGUAUCAAUCUCAUAUGAUACAUACAGGUGCCACGUGAAUAUUCCUAUAAAGCGUCACACCUGGGCCACCCGCAUGGAUUUGAAUUUUCGGUAAGUUUAUAUUUUUGUCACGACACUAUUUCUAAUUCGCCAUGUGAAUUUCUCGUUGGUUGUAGCGGGCUUGCCGAGUGCUUUAUAGGCAUGCUGCACAAUGUACUCCUGGAAUACGAAGGACUACGUGCUUUAGCAGGAUCGUUCGUUCUUUUUCGAUAUAGAGAAUUUCUUGGAGGCGUUUAAAAGGUACUAGGUAGUCUGGCGUAUUUUUUUUGAGCCGACAAAGAAGCGAUAGGAGAUAGCUGAUUGGUAAAGAAGAAGAAGAAGAGAAAGAGAAUGAAAUCGAAGGGCAUUAAAGUCAAUUGGAAAUACGACACCCGCUAGCGUGUAUUUUCGUCGGUGAUAGCAGAGAAACAUCCAAGUGGGCGUCGAUCGUCGAUACGUGGCGACUCUGGGAAUUUCUCAAACUCUACAGUGUGGCGACGUCACUUUUUUUCCAUCUCCACUUGCCGUGAGACGUUCCAAACCAAAGGGUGUCUUGUUAAAAUAAUGCGAUUCUUAAGAAAAAAAAUCAAACAGCACCAUGUUUAAAAUUUUGAAUGUUUUUGCAAGUAACGUAAUAUGGCUGCACUGCGGAUUUAAUUCUAAACUUAAUAUUCAUUGACAACUUGUCUAGAAUUAAAUCCAACCUCAAAAACAGUCAAAGUAUGUAUGCACUCGGCGUACGAAUUCUCCUUGGUAGAGCAGGAUUUAUCACAGUGAGAAUUCUAAUUGAGAUUCCAUAGGAGUGCUGGUAUUAAUAUAAACGUGUAGACACUUACUACAUUACCAGUA